UAUUAAAAGAUAGAGAAACAGAGCAAACCAGGAGCUUGAAGAAAGGAAUACAGCUAUGAAAUAUCUGACAAAUAUAGCAAUAUGCUAUAUUUGUCAGAUAUUUUAUAGCUGCAUUCCUUUCUUCAAGCUCCUGGUUUGCUCUGUUUCUAACCCUUUGUUU